CCCCUUUCAGGCUCGCAACUGGAGAGUUGCCAGUACUCUUCCAGUCUCGGCUGCGGGAGGGAGAGUCAGGCAGAAUCAUACCCGUUCCAUUCCCAGCUUGGGCAGUGGCUAGCAAACGGAGGACAAUCUGCUACAAAA